rnacentral:sRNA from 14 species
AUGUGAAAGUGAUCUGGCUGCAUCAUCUGUCACUCCAUUAAUGACCAAGUUUGAUUCAGUUAAUCUGACUGGCUACCCAGCUUGCUUCCUCUACCCUCAACACU